CGCUGGCGGCGUGCCCUAAUACAUGCAAGUCGAACGGUCUUUUCAUGGAAGCUUGCUUCCACUGAGAAGAUAGUGGCGAACGGGUGAGUAACACGUGGGUAACCUGCCCCAUAAGAGGGGGGAUAACAUCCGGAAACGGGUGCUAAUACCGCAUAGUUUUCUUGAUCGCAUGAUCGGGAAAGGAAAGACGGCCUUUGUGCUGUCGCUUAUGGAUGGACCCGCGGCGUAUUAGUUAGUUGGUGAGGUAACGGCUCACCAAGACGAUGAUACGUAGCCGACCUGAGAGGGUGAUCGGCCACAUUGGGACUGAGGCACGGCCCAAACUCCUACGGGAGGUAGCAGUAGGGAAUCUUCCGCAAUGGACGAAAGUCUGACGGAGCAACGCCGCGUGAGUGAAAGAAGGUUUUCGGAUCGUAAAACUCUGUUGUCAGAGAAGAACAAGUUGGAGAGUAACUGCUCCAGCCUUGACGGUAUCUGACCAGAAAGCCACGGCUAACUACGUGCCAGCCGCCGC
rnacentral:rRNA from 1 species